rnacentral:rRNA from 1 species
GAUGAACGCUGGCGGCGUGCCUAAUACAUGCAAGUCGAGCGAACAGACGAGGAGCUUGCUCCUCUGACGUUAGCGGCGGACGGGUGAGUAACACGUGGAUAACCUACCUAUAAGACUGGGAUAACUUCGGGAAACCGGAGCUAAUACCGGAUAAUAUAUUGCACCGCAUGGUUCAAUAGUGAAUGACGGUUUUGCUGUCACUUAUAGCUGGAUCCGCGCCGCAUUAGCUAGUUGGUAAGGUAACGGCUUACCAAGGCAACGAUGCGUAGCCGACCUGAGAGGGUGAUCGGCAACACUGGAACGGAGACACGGUCCAGACUACUACGGGAGGCAGCAGUAGGGAAUCUUCCGCAAUGGGCGAAAGCCUGACGGAGCAACGCCGCGUGAGUGAUGAAGGUCUUCGGAGCGUAAAACUCUGUUAUUAGGGAAGAACAAAUGUGUAAGUAACUAUGCACGUAUUGACGGUACCUAAUCAGAAAGCCACGGCUAACUACGUG